UCUACUCCCAGACUACUUCUUUGGCAUACAGUUUCCUGUUUCUAUGGCAAUGGACAGACUUCUCUGCACUGAAAAACAUUGAAUUUGCUAUUGGGGGAAGUCGUUUUUCUUCAUCCUGGUCAUGCGGUAAAAGAUAGCGCUGUAGCCAACUGUUUCACCAGAUGUUCGGAAAAUAGAAACAAGGCCUCUCCACAUCCCCUGCCAGAAGAAGCUUAAUUAAAAUAACAAGGACUCUAAAGCAAAGUGAAGCAAUCACAGGCAGAAUCAAGUUAACUUUUUUAAGUGCUCCAAGCACUACCUGUCAAUGUUACUCAACUCCGAGAAGUCUGCUUCAACUUAAAUUUAUGGUUCAGAC